CGCGUCUGAUUAGGCAGUUGGCGGGGUAACGGCCCACCAAACCGACGAUCAGUAGCCGGCCUGAGAGGGCGACCGGCCACAUUGGGACUGAGACACGGCCCAAACUCCUACGGGAGGCAGCAGUGGGGAAUAUUGCACAAUGGGGGAAACCCUGAUGCAGCGACGCCGCGUGAGUGAAGAAGUAUUUCGGUAUGUAAAGCUCUAUCAGCAGGGAAGAUAAUGACGGUACCUGACUAAGAAGCCCCGGCUAACUACGUGCCAGCAGCCGCGGUAAUACGUAGGGGGCAAGCGUUAUCCGGAUUUACUGGGUGUAAAGGGAGCGUAGACGGCAAGGCAAGUCUGAUGUGAAAACCCAGGGCUUAACCCUGGGACUGCAUUGGAAACUGUCUGGCUCGAGUGCCGGAGAGGUAAGCGGAAUUCCUAGUGUAGCGGUGAAAUGCGUAGAUAUUAGG
rnacentral:rRNA from 1 species